CUGGCGGCGCGCUUACACAUGCAAGUCGCACGAGAAAGGGAGCAAUCCUGAGUAAAGUGGCGUACGGGUGAGUAACACGUGGAUCAUCUACCUCUUGGUGGGGAAUACCCCCGGGAAACUGGGGACAAUUCCGCAUAAGUUCGUGAGAAGAAAGCCGAAAGGCGCCGGGAGAGGAGUCCGCGGCUGAUUAGCUGGUUGGCGGGGUAAUGGCCCACCAAGGCGAAGAUCGGUAGCCGGCCUGAGAGGGCACACGGCCACACUGGCACUGAAACACGGGCCAGACUCCUACGGGAGGCAGCAGUGGGGAAUCUUGCACAAUGGGGGAAACCCUGAUGCAGCGACGCCGCGUGAGCGAUGAAGCCCUUCGGGGUGUAAAGCUCUUUCGACGGGAACGAUGAUGACGGUACCCGAAGAAGAAGCUGCGGCUAACUACGUGCCAGCAGCCGCGGUAAUACGUAGGCAGCAAGCGUUGUUCGGAAUUACUGGGCGUAAAGAGUGUGUANGCGGUGCUCUAAGUUCGGUGUGAAAUCUCCCGGCUCAACUGGGAGGGUGCGCCGGAAACUGGAGCGCUCGAGGUUGGGAGAGGAAAGCGGAAUUCCCGGUGUA
rnacentral:rRNA from 1 species